rnacentral:rRNA from 1 species
UACCAGCACCCCGAGUGGUCGGGACGAUUAUUGGGCGUAAAGCGCGUGUAGGCGGCUUUGCAAGUCGGGUGUGAAAGCCCUCAGCUCAACUGAGGAAGUGCGCCCGAAACUGCAGAGCUUGAGUACCGGAGAGGGUGGCGGAAUUCCCCAAGUAGAGGUGAAAUUCGUAGAUAUGGGGAGGAACACCGGUGGCGAAGGCGGCCACCUGGACGGUCACUGACGCUGAGACGCGAAAGCGUGGGGAGCAAACAGG